AUGACAUCAGUGACCAGUGAAUCUACUGUAGGUGCCAUGGGAAGUGAUGCUGGUGUGGUGCCAGUCACACAUGCCCAAGGCCAUGAAGAACCAGGAAGCACAGUAGCACUGAUAAGGAAUCCCCUGACUCCUGUGUCUACUGUUAUUCCCACAGAUGGUGAAGCUAGUAUGAUCACCACACACAUCCCAGGCUAUGAAGCCUCAAGAGGCACUGAAGCAUUGACAAGUGGCCUCCUGGUGACAUUGUCUUCUGGAAGUCCCACAGGGCCCAGUGCAGAAAGCAAGGGCAGGAUAAUGACCACAGCUGGAGAGCCAGAGACCAUAAUGACUACAACUUCCAGCCCUGCAGUAAGAACACACUCUGUUCUGGCAACAACAGCCUCAACCACUGCCUCUGAUAUUGACUUGGAAAAAAUCACUGUGCCUGCUUCCUCUGCCUUGCCAGAGACCAUGGUAGCACCAGCUGCCUGGUCUGGAGUGGAGAUGAGCCCAUCUGAAACUACGCUCAUUGCUGAAAUCUCUACCCCACCUGGGGCUGGGACAGGAGGAGGGAGCCCCAUAGGUGUCCCUUCACACCCUGCUACUCCCGACACCAUAGCAUCGACCACAGCCUUCCCCUGGACCAAUGUGCUCCCAGGAGGGUCUACAAGCACUUCAGCCACAAGUCUUUCCAGUGUCAGUAGAGAAGAUCCAAAGCCAAUGACCUCUCUGGACACAUCUGCUUCAGAGACCACAGCCAUGGCUACUGCAAGGGAAGGGCCGGCCCUGACUGAGUCCACAGCCAUGAUGGACAUCAGCAGAGGAGCUGAGGCUGUGGUUCUGUCCACAAGUGAUUUGCCCACCAGCUCAGCUGCCCCUCUCAUUCCCACAGAUAAAGUAUCUACCAGGACCACCAUGACCACUAUUGCAGACACUGGUAAGAACAGUUCCUUCAUUAUCUUCCCUGCUGGAACACAGGGUUGUAUUUUAGUGAAAUACAGGCAGGAAACAGUCACCACAGUUAUGGUGUCUGAGUCUGACAUGUCCAAGGAGGAGGUCAACCUUGUCCUUUUUCCCUUAAUGACUCAUGAAGGGUGUGUGAUGCAGUAG
rnacentral:lncRNA from 1 species